AACAAACCCAACCUGUCGUUCUGAGCUCUGCCAACCUGUCAGUCCAGCCAUGCAAGAGAGGGAGAGAGAGAAAAAAGGAGGGAGUGAAGCAGAGAUUCUUUCAGAUCUCAGCAGAUAUUAAGGUCCUCUUCCUGCACUGAGGUCCAAGAAUUAUCCUUUUCUCCAGCUCCGAGCAUAGCACAUUUACAGUGUGCUUUUAUUUCUGUAUUUGGAAUCUUUGCAGUUGAAAGACCUGUAUUCACAAAACGAUGGAGAGGAAUGGUGUCCCUUGUAAGACGAUGCUCUCAGAACUGUGUAUUUCCAGUCUGACAGUCACACUGCUGGUUGAACUGCAGCCCUGCCAACUUCUGCUGCAUUCAGUCAUCUAAUCUGAAGUGAUCAGUACAAGGAAACUUUAAUUUUAGGGAAAUUUGAGCUGUUUUAAAGCUUUGCUCCAAUGGCUGCAUAUAAAUCAUUGUGAAUUUAAGAGUUUUGCGAUUGAAGCUCGUGGUUUGGAUGCGCUCCUCUCAUUUAAGUCAACACGAGAGCAUGUAUGAUCUGACAGUGCUCUGGUUUGGAUUCGGGGGGUGAAGACUCCUCUCCUUCAGCUCUGAUCCCCAGAGCUCUGGCUCUGGGAAUACGUCAGGUUCAGCUUAGGGGGGUUUCGAUUCCCCCUCCCCUUGUAGAGAUUCCCUUUAGUCAUCUGUGGGGAUCUAAGAUGAGAUGGGGAUAACUAAAUAUAAAAGAAUACAAAUAUUCUUACUCUCCACGUUACAGAACAAGAAUAUGACUUUUCUGAUGCAAGUAUUAGGGGAAGUUGGUUCCCUUUCUAAAGAUG
rnacentral:lncRNA from 1 species